rnacentral:lncRNA from 1 species
UUUCUACUAACUUGUCAAGCUUACGGGUGCUUAACAAACCUUUACAACUUGAGGACACACGCCUCAACACGUUUGCUCGGAGAUACAACACUCCAAGACUUCAACCAAGGAAACACAAGUUCCUUCUUACAACAAGAGAAUAACUAUUCUCUUCAAGUGUACAAAACACUAAGCACUCAAACAAGACACUCCUUAAUGAGUAGAGAUGAGUAAAAG